rnacentral:rRNA from 1 species
CCUACGGGAGGCAGCAGUGGGGAAUCUUGCGCAAUGGGCGAAAGCCUGACGCAGCAACGCCGCGUGCGGGAAGAAGGCUUUCGGGCUGUAAACCGCUUUCAGCAGGAACGAAAAUGACGGUACCUGCAGAAGAAGGAGCGGCCAACUAUGUGCCAGCAGCCGCGGUGAUACAUAGGCUUCAAGCGUUGUCCGGAUUUAUUGGGCGUAAAGAGUUCGUAGGCGGUCGAGUAAGUCGGGUGUGAAAAUUCUGGGCUCGAACCCCAGAGACGCCACCCGAUACUGCUUGACUUGAGUUCGAUAGGGGAGUGGGGAAUUCCUAGUGUAGCGGUGAAAUGCGCAGAUAUUAGGAGGAACACCGGUGGCGAAGGCGCCACUCUGGAUCGAUACUGACGCUGAGGAACGAAGCAUGGGUAGCAAACAGGAUUAGAUACCCUGGUAGUCCAUGCCGUAAACGGUGGGCACUAGGUGUGGGUUUCUAUUAACGAAAUCCGCGCCGUCGCUUAACGCAUUAAGUGCCCCGCCUGGGGUAGGUACGGUCGCGAGACGUAACUACAAGAAGUAGACGCGNGAGACGUGCGACGACGACGACGAGGGAGGUAGG